rnacentral:rRNA from 1 species
CCUACGGGUGGCAGCAGUGAGGAAUAUUGGUCAAUGGGCGGAAGCCUGAACCAGCCAAGUCGCGUGAGGGAUUAAGGCCCUGCGGGUCGUAAACCUCUUUUGCCGGGGAGCAGUGGUCCGGACGCGUCCGGACCGGGAGAGUACCCGGAGAAAAAGCAUCGGCUAACUCCGUGCCAGCAGCCGCGGUAAUACGGAGGAUGCGAGCGUUAUCCGGAUUUAUUGGGUUUAAAGGGAGCGUAGAUGGGUUGUUAAGUCAGUUGUGAAAGUUUGCGGCUCAACCGUCAAAUUGCAAUUGGUAGUGGAAGCCUUGAGUACAGUUGAGGUAGGCGGAAUUCGUGGUGUAGCGGUGAAAUGCGUAGAUAUCACGAAGAACUCCGAUUGCGAAGGCAGCCUACUAAACUGCCACUGACAUUGAUGCUCGAAAGUGUGGGUAUCAAACAGGAUUAGAUACCCUAGUAGUC